AGUGGCGGACGGGUGAGUAACGCGUGGGUAACCUGCCUUAUACAGGGGGAUAACAGUUGGAAACGACUGCUAAUACCGCAUAAGCGCACAGUGCCGCAUGGCACAGUGUGAAAAACUCCGGUGGUAUAAGAUGGACCCGCGUCUGAUUAGCUAGUUGGUGAGGUAACGGCUCACCAAGGCGACGAUCAGUAGCCGGCUUGAGAGAGUGAUCGGCCACAUUGGGACUGAGACACGGCCCAAACUCCUACGGGAGGCAGCAGUGGGGAAUAUUGCACAAUGGGGGAAACCCUGAUGCAGCAACGCCGCGUGAGUGAAGAAGUAUUUCGGUAUGUAAAGCUCUAUCGGCAGGGAAGAUAAUGACGGUACCUGACUAAGAAGCCCCGGCUAACUACGUGCCAGCAGCCGCGGUAAUACGUAGGGGGCAAGCGUUAUCCGGAUUUACUGGGUGUAAAGGGAGCGUAGGCGGCUUGGCAAGUCUGAUGUGAAAGCCCAGGGCUCAACCCUGGGACUGCAUUGGAAACUGUCAGGCUAGAGUGCAGGAGAGGUAAGUGGAAUUCCUAGUGUAGCGGUGAAAUGCGUAGAUAUUAGGAGGAACACCAGUGGCGAAGGCGGCUUACUGGACUGUAACUGACGCUGAGGCUCGAAAGCGUGGGGAGCAAACAGGAUUAGAUACCCUGGUAGUCCACGCUGUAAACGAUGAAUACUAGGUGU
rnacentral:rRNA from 1 species